GGUUAAAGUCACUGAGACUGAAGGCUGGUAGAAGACCCUCUGCUGAGGUUAAAGUCACUGAGACUGAAGGCUGGUAGAAGACCCUCUGCUGAGGUUAAAGUCACUGAGACUGAAGGCUGGUAGAAGACCCUCUGCUGAGGUUAAAGUCACUGAGACUGAAGGCUGGUAGAAGACCCUCUGCUGAGGUUAAAGUCACUGAGACUGAAGGCUGGUAGAAGACCCUCUGCUGAGGUUAAAGUCACUGAGACUGAAGGCUGGUAGAAGACCCUCUGCUGAGGUUAAAGUCACUGAGACUGAAGGCUGGUAGAAGACCCUCUGCUGAGGUUAAAGUCACUGAGACUGAAGGCUGGUAGAAGACCCUCUGCUGAGGUUAAAGCCACUGAGACUGAAGGCUGGUAGAAGACCCUCUGCUGAGGUUAAAGUCACUGAGACUGAAGGCUGGUAGAAGACCCUCUGCUGAGGUUAAAGUCACUGAGACUGAAGGCUGGUAGAAGACCCUCUGCUGAGGUUAAAGUCACUGAGACUGAAGGCUGGUAGAAGACCCUCUGCUGAGGUUAAAGUCACUGAGACUGAAGGCUGGUAGAAGACCCUCUGCUGAGGUUAAAGUCACUGAGACUGAAGGCAGGUAGAAGACCCUCUGCUGAGGUUAAAGACACAGACUGAAGGCUGGUAGAAGACCCUCUGCUGAGGUUAAAGACACGGAGACUGAAGGCUGGUAGAAGACCCUCUGCUGAGGUUAAAGUCACUGAGACUGAAGGCUGGUAGAAGACCCUCUGCUGAGGUUAAAGUCACUGAGACUGAAGGCUGGUAGAAGACCCUCUGCUGAGGUUAAAGUCACUGAGACUGAAGGCUGGUAGAAGACCCUCUGCUGAGGUUAAAGUCACUGAAGGCUGGUAGAAGACCCUCUGCUGAGGUUAAAGCCACUGAGACUGAAGGCUGGUAGAAGACCCUCUGCUGAGGUUAAAGUCACUGAGACUGAAGGCUGGUAGGAGACCCUCUGCUGAGGUUAAAGCCACUGAGACUGAAGGCUGGUAGAAGACCCUCUGCUGAGGUUAAAGACACGGAGACUGAAGGCUGGUAGGAGACCAUCUGCUGAGGUUAAAGUCACUGAGACUGAAGGCUGGUAGAAGACCCUCUGCUGAGGUUAAAGUCACUGAGACUGAAGGCUGGUAGAAGACCCUCUGCUGAGGUUAAAGUCACUGAGACUGAAGGCUGGUAGAAGACCCUCUGCUGAGGUUAAAGUCACUGAGACUGAAGGCUGGUAGAAGACCCUCUGCUGAGGUUAAAGUCACUGAGACUGAAGGCUGAUAGAAGACCCUCUGCUGAGGUUAAAGACACGGAGACUGAAGGCUGGUAGGAGACCCUCUGCUGAGGUUAAAGCCACUGAGACUGAAGGCUGGUAGAAGACCCUCUGCUGAGGUUAAAGCCACUGAGACUGAAGGCUGGUAGAAGACCCUCUGCUGAGGUUAAAGCCACUGAGACUGAAGGCUGGUAGAAGACCCUCUGCUGAGGAUAAAGUCACUGAAGGCUGGCAGGAGACCCUCUGCUGAGGUUAAAGACACUGAAGGCUGGUAGAAGACCCUCUGUAGACUUAACGAUCCAAGAGCAGC